CACUCAGUAAGGCAUUGUUCUUCUAUACUAAUAAAUGAACAGCGCCUUUCUGUGUAGC
rnacentral:pre_miRNA from 1 species